UACGUAGGGUGCGAGCGUUUAAUCGGAAUUACUGGGCGUAAAGCGUGCGCAGGCGGUUUUGUAAGUCAGAUGUGAAAAUCCCCGAGCCUCAACUUGGGAACUGCGUUUGAAACUACAAGACUAGAAUAUGUCAGAGGGGGGUAGAAUUCCACGUGUAGCAGUGAAAAUGCGUAGAGAUGUGGAGGAAUACCAAUGGCGAAGGCAGCCCCCUGGGCCUGCACUGACGCUCAUGCACGAAAGCGUGGGG
rnacentral:rRNA from 1 species